GACGAACGCUGGCGGCGUGCUUAACACAUGCAAGUCGAACGGAAAGGCCCUGCUUUUGUGGGGUGCUCGAGUGGCGAACGGGUGAGUAACACGUGAGUAACCUGCCCUUGACUUUGGGAUAACUUCAGGAAACUGGGGCUAAUACCGGAUAGGAGCUCCUGCUGCAUGGUGGGGGUUGGAAAGUUUCGGCGGUUGGGGAUGGACUCGCGGCUUAUCAGCUUGUUGGUGGGGUAGUGGCUUACCAAGGCUUUGACGGGUAGCCGGCCUGAGAGGGUGACCGGCCAGAUGGGGACGGGGUGCGGCCCCGGCCCCCACGGGGGGCAAGAGGGGGGGAUUUUGGCAAAGGGGGGGGAGGCUUGAGGCGGAACCCCCGCGGGGGGAAGGGGGCCUUGGGGUUUGAACCCCGCUUCGGCCUGUGAGGAGCGGGGGGGGAGGUAAAGGGGUAAGAAAGCCCCGCCAAAUUACGGC
rnacentral:rRNA from 1 species